UGGGCGUGUGGUCUAGCCCGGUUAUGACGUCGCCUUGACAUGGCGGAGGUCCCCAGUUCGAAUCUGGGCACGCCCAUCCA
rnacentral:tRNA from 1 species